rnacentral:rRNA from 1 species
GACGAACGCUGGCGGCGUGCCUAAUACAUGCAAGUCGAGCGCAGGAAACUGACGGAACUCUUCGGAGGGAAGGCAGCGGAAUGAGCGGCGGACGGGUGAGUAACACGUAAGGAACCUGCCUCAAGGAUUGGGAUAACUCCGAGAAAUCGGAGCUAAUACCGGAUAGUUCAACGGACCGCAUGGUCCGCUGAUGAAAGGCGCUUCGGCGUCACCUUGAGAUGGCCUUGCGGUGCAUUAGCUAGUUGGUGGGGUAACGGCCCACCAAGGCGACGAUGCAUAGCAGACCUGAGAGGGUGAGCGGCCACACUGGGACUGAGACACGGCCCAGACUCCUACGGGAGGCAGCAGUAGGGAAUCUUCCACAAUGGGCGAAAGUCUGAUGGAGCAACGCCGCGUGAGUGAUGAAGGUUUUCGGAUCGUAAAACUCUGUUGUAAGGGAAGAACACGUACGAGAGGAAAUGCUCGUACCUUGACGGUACCUUACGAGAAAGCCACGGCUAACUACGUGCCAGCCGCCGCCGUAA